rnacentral:lncRNA from 1 species
AUGUGGAAUCUUAACUCCCCAAUGAGGGUUCAAACACUCAGUCCCUGCAUUGGAAGGCAGAGUCUUAACUGGACCAGCAGGGAAGUCUCAUCCUUAUUCAAUUUUUUGAUCCUACAAUUAUUUGAUCUUUCUUCAUUCACAGGGAUUCUGUUUGAGAAUGACAGUCUUUCAUCAGCAAAAAAAAAAAAAAAAGGAGGCAUACUCAGGGACAAAUGAACAAAAAUUACAGAAGAGACUCCAGUCUCUUGGAGAAGAUUGUCAGCUAGGAUUACUCCAAAUCUCUUGAUGAUUCUCUUCUUUUUAACUUUUGGUUGGCCAACAACCUUUCACCUGAAAGGCUGGGAUAGGGGAGAAUAGAGGAGGAGAAGAGAAGACAAAAUUUUGAUUUGUUUUGGAAGUUUCCAGAAGGCCCUCAAUGGAGAAGACCAAAAUUAGAAGGACAUUGCGGUGGAAGGGAAAUAGACAAAGGACUGAAUAAUAUCAAGCAAUCUGUGGCGAUCCUUCAGUAGAAACCUAGUCCAUUACUGGAAAGUGAGUGGGGAGUUAGUGUUUAAUGGAGACAGAGAUUCAGUUUAGGAAGGUGAAAAGUUUGGCAGACGGAUGAUGGUGAGAGUUGUACAACAAUGUGAAUGUUCUUAGUGUCGCUGAAAUGUCCAGUUAAAUAUGGUUCAAAUAGUAUGUUUUAUGUUGUGUGACUUUUCCCACAAUAAAAUUUUAUUUUUUUUAAAAGAGAGUGAACCAUGUUAGUAGUUAAAGAAUGCUGCUCAGCUUUGUGUGAUGUACCCACACAGAACUCCUGUUGCCAUUUCUGCAGUUGUUUCUAGACUGUGGUGGGUGAUGAACAGGAGAGGAGAGAGAGGGUGGUGGUGAGGUGCCAGAGAACAGGAAAAAAUUCUUAAUUAUGGUGCCUACCUCUCUGCUUGCUCCCCUCAAACAACCUGGGAGAAAAAUACUCUGCGUUUUGUGUUUUUAGCUCAUGAAAGCCAAUGAAAUUAGAGCCAAGCACCCAGGUGGCAUAGUGGUAAAGAAUGUGCCUGCCAGUGAGGAGGCGUGAGUUUGAUCCCUGUGUUGGGAAGAUCCCCUGGAGUAGGAAAUGGCAACUCACUCCAGUAUUCUNNNNNNNNNNNNNCCAUGGACAGAGGAACCUGGCAGGCUACAGUCCAUGGGGUCCCAAAGAGUUGGGCACGACUUAGCACAAGCACUGACUAAGCGAGGAGUUCCUACUUUUGAAUAUUAACGAUGGCCUUUAAAUUGCUGUAAUUCCCUCAACAAUGCUACAAGGGAGAUCUUACUCAUGUAAUUUAGAACUGAAUCUUGUAUAGAGUUUGUACAGAUAUUAAGCAAAUUGCACAGUCGACAACUGCAGAGUUGACCUUUCUUUCAAA